GAAACUCUUUUUCAUUAAUCACACUACUGUAGUCAUAGACUCUCAAACUUAGUCUCUCAAAUCGCAUAGGACUACUUCUCUCUAUCAAAAUUGAUAGAUUUCUUCUAGAUGCACACUCUCCUCAUACAGCGGACUAAUUGUCGCCAAUAUCUACUACAAAGACACAUCGAAACUAUAUUUAUGUGUCAGUCAAACUCUAACAGCCUCAUUACGAGCAGUCAUACCAUC
rnacentral:lncRNA from 1 species